GACGAACCGUGCGAACGUUAUUCGGAAUCACUGGGCUUAAAGCGCGUGUAGGCGGGACGGCACGUCGGUCGCUGAAAGCCCCCGGCUCAACCGGGGAAGGGGCGCCGAUACGACCGACCUGGAGGGACGUAGGGGGACCUGGAACUUCCGGUGGAGCGGUGAAAUGCGUUGAGAUCGGAAGGAACGCCCGUGGCGAAAGCGAGGUCCUGGACGUCUACUGACGCUGAGACGCGAAAGCCAGGGGAGCGAACGGG
rnacentral:rRNA from 1 species